AGGAAAAAACACAUCUCAAACUCCUCUACGCAACCCAUUGGCACUUUGUCGAGCGAGCCUAUCGCCGCCUUUCCUCUUCCCCCGCUUCUACAUGUCUCCUCUCCUCUAUCAUUUUCCUGUCGUGGACUUGAAGAAGGUUCAUCGUGCUGCAAUCGAUCUGGAAGAAAAUGACCCAUAUCCUCCCUGAUCUGGAAGGUUCAUCGUCGUCUCCAGUCAAGGAAGCACGGAUCUCACGGUAGCUGCGUAAUUAGGGAGUAAAGGAGGAUAAGCUUGGAUGGUCUACAUCAAAUUCAAUGGUACACUGGACCCAACGUGUGUUCUCUACGUCUUCAAAUCAUCCAACGGCUAACCAGUUCACUUUGAAGUUGAUAGGAAGCUUUGCAAAAUAUUAUUACUCUGGAGAAGAUAUAGAUGUUGUCCAAAUAUCAGAUUAUCUGCAUGGUAAAACUAAUAGCUCUUUCUUCCGGUAUUAAGACAAGUACAGAUGGCGUUGUGGUGGACGAAGGGGUGAGAAUUGAUGGGACUUAAUGGUCAGUUAUUGUACUAAUUUUUGAACGGAAUUUCUAGAAAGUGAACCUUUCCCCUCAGCCUUCCGAGUGUGACACAGUAUUUACCAUCUGAUUUUGGCUUGCAUCCGCGUGCACAUCGUCACAAUUGAUGUGUGACAUCAGUACAACAACCUGAAAACGCCCUGUAGUGCGGUGUCCACUUUUGAAAUCUCGAUUUUCCCCAUGGGUUUGUUUCAUGUUAUUAAGUAAUAUCUCUCUCUUCUCAUUAAAAAAACAUAUUCAAGCCAUGUUUGAUGAGCACGAUGAGAAUUUUAAAGGUGUACUACAGUUGGAGCAAAUUUAUUGGUUCCUGCAAGCAGAACGGCUUACCUUUUUCUGUUUUAUGGGAAUUACUACCCCCCUCAACCAUCUCAUGUAAAAAGUACACAAAUAUGCAUUGGUAGAUACCAGUUUGAAAUGUGCAGAUCAAGUCACACUUCAAGUUAAGCUGUACAUGUGAUUUUCGUAUCUCCCUACUAAGAUAUGCAUCUGAACCUUUACUGAUAUUUUGAUAGUACAAUGACAAUUGGUCUCCUGUGAAGCAAAUAAGUUAUUUUCUUAUGGCACGUCAUGUCUUCAGCAAAUAUAUCAGAUAUAGAUUCGGUGUAAGUUAACCUUUUUGUAGUAUAAUAUUUUAUAUGAAUGGUUGGAUUUUCCUGGAGUUGCUAUAGAAUACUGUAAAGAUAACUUGAUGUUACUAUAGGGUGCACUAGGCCAGUAGCAAAGUUGUUCGUUUGUAACUACUUACUUGUAUGUUAGUCUUAAUAUUUAGUUUUUUCUUAUCUUGCGCCAAAUUAGCCAAUUCUUUCUUAACUAUCAAAUCACUUCUAAAUUGUAGUAAUCGAUUCUUAGUUCUCAACUUCUCCAAUUUUCCAAUCCAUCAUCCCCAUACGUUUUAGAACUAUGCAAAGCUUUUCACGAGUGUCCUUGCUAAUUACCAAAUUAUAUUUGCCAGUUUUCAAAUCUACAUGAUGGGAUCGUGUAGUCCUAUAGUAGUUCAGUUUUUCAUAGCAGUAUCAAAAGUACUUUAUAUUUUUCCUGUAAAUUACUCCCGUCCUUGCUUCCACAUUUUGUAACCAUGUGAAACCGUCAUUCUAGGAGCUAUUGAUUUGCAUAUAAUCCCAUGGACCGGGCUCAAAAUUUAUCUUGCGCACAAAGCUACUCUAUUUGUGCAACUAUUAUCUAAAGUAGGUACUGAAAUAUGUUGUGCAUUCAAGAUCAACCUUUAUCUUCAGGCCUGUAACAUAAUCUAUAUUGCUCAGUUUAUUCAAGUUUGCAUUACAGUUUCUGUAUGACCAGACAACUAGAUGGUGGCUACAAUUACACGAACGUCGCACAUAUAAUUUUUUCCAUGCUAAGGAAACCUCAAAAUCUUCAGUUUUA